rnacentral:tRNA from 1 species
CGGUGGUGCAGUGGUUAGCGCUUUUGCCUCACAGCAAGAAGGCCCGGGUUCAAGUCCUGGCUG